NNNNNNNNNNNNNNNNNNUAGUCAUAUGCUUGUCUCAAAGAUUAAGCCAUGCAUGUCUAAGUAUAAGCAAUUUAUACGGUGAAACUGCGAAUGGCUCAUUAAAUCAGUUAUCGUUUAUUUGAUAGUACCUUACUACAUGGAUACCUGUGGUAAUUCUAGAGCUAAUACAUGCUAAAAACCUCGACUUCGGAAGGGGUGUAUUUAUUAGAUAAAAAACCAAUGCCCUUCGGGGCUCCUUGGUGAAUCAUAAUAACUUAACGAAUCGCAUGGCCUUGCGCCGGCGAUGGUUCAUUCAAAUUUCUGCCCUAUCAACUUUCGAUGGUAGGAUAGUGGCCUACCAUGGUGGCAACGGGUAACGGGGAAUUAGGGUUCGAUUCCGGAGAGGGAGCCUGAGAAACGGCUACCACAUCCAAGGAAGGCAGCAGGCGCGCAAAUUACCCAAUCCCGACACGGGGAGGUAGUGACAAUAAAUACUGAUACGGGGCUCUUUUGGGUCUCGUAAUUGGAAUGAGUACAAUCUAAAUCCCUUAACGAGGAACAAUUGGAGGGCAAGUCUGGUGCCAGCAGCCGCGGUAAUUCCAGCUCCAAUAGCGUAUAUUAAAGUUGUUGCAGUUAAAAAGCUCGUAGUUGAACCUUGGGUCUGGCUGGCCGGUCCGCCUCACCGCGAGUACUGGUCCGGCUGGACCUUUCCUUCUGGGGAACCUCAUGGCCUUCACUGGCUGUGGGGGGAACCAGGACUUUUACUGUGAAAAAAUUAGAGUGUUCAAAGCAGGCCUUUGCUCGAAUACAUUAGCAUGGAAUAAUAGAAUAGGACGUGCGGUUCUAUUUUGUUGGUUUCUAGGACCGCCGUAAUGAUUAAUAGGGAUAGUCGGGGGCGUCAGUAUUCAGCUGUCAGAGGUGAAAUUCUUGGAUUUGCUGAAGACUAACUACUGCGAAAGCAUUCGCCAAGGAUGUUUUCAUUAAUCAGGGAACGAAAGUUAGGGGAUCGAAGACGAUCAGAUACCGUCGUAGUCUUAACC
rnacentral:rRNA from 1 species